rnacentral:rRNA from 1 species
GACGAACGCUGGCGGCGUGCUUAACACAUGCCAGUCGAACGGGUCUGCCCUGUUUUUUGCGGGGUGGGUCAGUGGCGAACGGGUGAGUAACACGUUAGUAACCUGCCCCUCACUUCUGGAUAACCGCUUGAAAGGGUGGCUAAUACGGGGUGUUCUGGCUGUGCCGCAUGGUGUGGCUGGGAAAGGUUCACUUUUGUGGUGUUUUGGCGGGGGAUGGGCUCGCGGCGUAUCAGCUUGUUGGUGGGGUGUUGGCCUGCCUAGGCUUUGACGGGCAGCCGGCCUGUCAGGAUCGGCGGCCACCCCGUGACGGAGGUCCGGCCCAGCCUCCUGGGCGAGCACGCACUGAGCGGUAUUGCACAAUGGGCGGAACCCCGAUGCAGCAGCGUCGCGUGAGGGAUGGAGCCCUUCGGGUUGUGAACCUCUUUCGCCGGUGCAGAAGGUCCUGCUUUGUGUGGUGGUGUUGACGGUAGCCGGGUUAAGAAGCGCCGGCUAACUACGUG